GUGAAAAUCACUCGGAGCAGUGAGGCUACAUCAAAAUUAAAAUUGUCCCGUCCCGUCUUACGUUAAUCUUUGGAAAUUGCAUUUUCGACGUACAGUAUAAAAGAUUACAUAAGUAUUGAGUGAUGUUAUCCGAGAAAAAGGAUUCCAUUUGUGCGUGUAAACGUCCUGCCUCAAUUGGCACGUGCAUUACCGUCUAUUUAUUUUCCAUGUGCAAUUCGAUAGCUUUCGGCUUUAUAGAGCGAAUGUAUUGAACCUUCGUUUAUUCAAGAAGGAAAACGUAAAUAAAAUCAUGGUUUGAUAUUAUGCGUCGUGAAUUCCACGUUAUGAUGAAUAACUGAUGGUUUGAUGAGUAUCUUCGAGUAAAUGAAAAAUACAUAUGCGAACGGAUCUGCGUGAAGCGAGAGCCAAGAUCGAUUUACACUGUGUUUGUGUGUGUGUGUGUGUGUGUGUGUGUGUGUGUGUGUGUGUGUGAUUUGUCAGGUGCAAUACGUAUUUGUGCACACGAUGGGUUCCUCACAAAUUAAUCUCACUCUUACGCACAUAAUAUACGGAGAAUUAAUUUUGAUGUAAAGUAACGUGCGUUGAGUAAAAUUAGCAACUUGGUCUCUUUCCUCGCAUUUCCUCUUCAUCUCGACAUGGAUCACUGAGUCACUUGCGUCGCAAAAAGAAACGGAUGCGAAAAAGCAUGCGAAUAUAAAAUCUUCUUGGAAAAAUUUAUAAUCUUAAACAGACAUAAUUUUGCUUACAUAAAGAAAAUUCUUUUCAUAGUGUAAGCAAAUUAUGUCUGUUUAAGAUUAUAAAUUCUACCAGAAAAAUUUUAUAUUCUUGCUUAUAUAUGAAACAUUGAAUUGUUAAUUUGAUACUAAUUUUUUUUCUGUGUUGUACCUAGUCGGCGCGGCGUGGCGCCUUUCCGACGACCUUUUUAGAAGUGCGACAAGAAAGACAAGCGAGAUGGAUGCGAUGACCCAAUUACGCCAGUGAAAGUAACACAUUGGUCAGUUAUGAUCUACGCCGCCGCCGCCGCCGCCACUGCCACCAUCGUGUUCACCCACACACGCGCGUGCACGCGUACGCGGGGAAUUACACCGCGCCGCGUCUUAAGUACUGAUUGAUAGCGGCGACUGAUAGCGAAAUUUAUCACUACAGCAACGAUUGCAGUAAUUACGAAUUAUGAAAGUGAACUUAAAAAAAUUAUUUUAUGGUGUAUGUUUAAUCUGAUAUUUUUUAAAUGAUAAAAAUUUAAGUUUUAAUAGAUAUUAUUACCUAUAUAUAAUAUAGAAUAUUUACACCAUUCACUAAGCCGACAUCACCGUUAUAGAAGAAGAAUGAAAAAGAAAAUUAUUUAUUGAGAAAUAACCUCGAUUUAUAAAAAUUUUCAAAUUUUUGAAAUAAUCCAUCAUGAGAUUAUACCUUCUGUUGAAAAAGAAAGUUAUGCGAGAACUUUAUAAAACGCUUUAUAAAACGCAGAUGUAAAAACAAGAAGCAAUUACACAGGAUUUUGGUAUAAAAAAACAUCAAAACAAGAGUAGUCAUUUCCUAUAGCUUCUUGGAUGCUGAAUACGAAUCUAUUGUUCAGAUUGCUCCAUUACGUUAUAAUUUUUUCUUUGUCAUUAAAAUUACAAAAAAUUGCUAUUUUUAGAUAUUUUCUUAUAUUAUAAUUAUGAUCCAGAGAAAAGUUUCAUUUCUAGUCAAAAAUAUUUAUUCAAGUCAAAGAAUUGUGCACUGCUAUAUAGUUAAAGAUAGGUUUGUUUGAUUUGAAAAAAAUCUUUCGGUUGUUCCUUUUAUUAGAAUUAAAGUAAUAAUUUGGUUGUACUACGCAAUUUUUUUCAAUAAAAGAAAUAUAUUUUUAAAACCAGA